rnacentral:rRNA from 1 species
GAUGAACGCAAGCGGCAGGCCUAAUACAUGCAAGCUGAACGGUAAAUGUUGUAGCAAUACGAUAUGAGAGUAGCGUAAGGGUGCGUAACACGUAUGCAAUCUGCCCGCAACAGGAGGAUAGCUCCCCGAAAGGGGAAUUAAUACUCCAUAAGAUCACGAAAGGGCAUCUGAUUGUGAUUAAACUCCAAGGGGUUGCGGAUGAGCAUGCGUCUGAUUAGCUAGUUGGUGAGGUAACGGCUCACCAAGGCGAUGAUCAGUAGGGGAACUGAGAGGUUGAUCCCCCACACUGGCACUGAGAUACGGGCCAGACUCCUACGGGAGGCAGCAGUAGGGAAUAUUGGUCAAUGGGUGAGAGCCUGAACCAGCCAUGCCGCGUGCAGGAAGACGGCCUUCUGGGUUGUAAACUGCUUUUGUCAGGGGAUAAAAUACCCGUGCGCGGGGAAUUGAAGGUACCUGAUGAAUAAGCCACGGCUAACUACGUGCCAGCAGCCGCAGUAAGAC